UCUGGAUGGCAUGAAUAUAUAAUAAUGAAUCAUCAACAUGCGGCCUCCACAAGUCCUAAUCAGUGGUUGGAUGUGUGCACGCCGGGCUCAGGGGGCGGUCCUGCCGGGCUCAGGGGGCGGUCCUGCCGGGCUCAGGGGGCGGUCCUGCCAGGCGGCCACACCCCUUCCCUCCUUCCUCAGAUGUUCUUGCAGCAAGGCUUCUUCUCCUCCUCCGGGUGUGGCACCACGCUGGGGUUGAGCGUCACGGCGCUGAUGGAACCUCGCACCACUUCCUUGCUGCUCACCUUCUUGUGGAUCUCUAGGGUUGGACAUUCAGUGCAAGUCAUCAGCUCAAAGUUCUCUUCCACAGGAGGCUUCCACAGCGAGUCUACUGCCAGACUGAAGUUGGAACUACACGCUGCUUUGUAUUAGAAAGGGCAACGUGCAUGUACGAGCCAGUCUGCCCCACCACAAGAGGACAGAGACAAAGAAGCAAUGAGUGACUACAAGGUUGGAGCACAGUGGCCGACUGGAGCAAAGCACUAUGGGACGUAUGAAGGAAGAGAAGAUUGUUUUGUUCAACAUCUCCACUACGCCUUCAGGCCUGGAUUUCACAUGUUUGGGACUUAUGCAGAUCCCAAAUACACAAGGUCAGGUACCAAUAGGUUAGAAAAGUGGCUUUUGCAUAACAGGAACCCACUAAAACUAACACAAAGUUAUUUAAAAUUCAUUUUGAAAUACAAAAAAUUCAAUAAAAACAAAAUUGACCUUUUUCAGUGUCACAGGAUGAUAACUAAAUGUAACUCAAUCUUUUUACUUGAUUGUUCGUCGCACAAGAAUGAACAUCUCUAGUCAGCAGAAAGGAAGCCAAGGGCCCAAAACUGAUGUUGUCUUAUAUUCUCACACUGGAAAUGUAGCAAGUGACCCGAAAGAGACAAGAUGGUCUCCUGGGUUCUGCCAGCACUGUUGUCCAAAUCAACAAGCUGAAAAAAUAUGGCACUAAUCAUCAAGACACUUCCAUCAACCAUCAAUACACCGUAUUUUUGGGAGUAUAAGUCGCA